CCCGCCGAAUUUAAGCAUAUAAUUCAGCGGAGGAAAAGAAAUCAAAUGAGAUUCCCUGAGUAACGGCGAGUGAAAAGGGAUGAGUCCGGCGCAAAGGUUUUCCAUUGAAAGGUGGAAAGCGGUGCUGCGUAAUGGCUAGAGUCACGAUUAUUUCAACUAAAUCUGCAAGUCCCUCUGACAAGGGCCCUCUUCCCAGAGACGGUUCUAGGCCGGUGGCAGAUCUUGGUUAAUGGAAUAUCGAUUACUGGCUUUAGUCGCGGAUAGAGUCAGAUUGCUUGAGAGUGCAAUCCAAAUUAGGAGGUAAACUCCUCCUAAGACUAAAUACGAUGGUAAUAUCGAUAGCAAACAAGUACCGUGAGGGAAAGUUGCAAAGUACUUUGAAGAGAGAGUUCAAAAGGACGUGAAACCGCUUGUAGAGAAACGGAUAGAACCACGAAGUGUAGCUGAGAGGAGAACUCAGCUCCUCUUGUGUAUUGUUGCCUUUUUCUAUUCAGUGCUAAGAAUGCUUUACAGCGUUCCAAGAUCAGUAGGUUAAGGGGUAACUUUUAGCCUGCCCUUGGAUCUUGGUAUUGAUAGGAGGAGUGCAAUAUGUGCAUGAGGAGUGCAUUUUCUCAACUCUCGUGCUCAAACCACGACCAAUGUGAAGGAGAGUGCAAAACUCUUGUUCAAGUGAUAACAGCAAGGUGUACUAAACACACACCUAAUCAGCAUUUAGUUUUCACAGCUACUAAUAUUCCUUGCGUUGUUAGACUUAGCCUGUGAGCUAGUGUUGGCAACUGUUACCACAGUCACAUUGGAGAUGAAUCUCUGCUUAUGCAGGGUCAACAAUGCUUGUCAUCUGCUCUGACGAAUCCGACUAGUCUUUCGUUGAUGAUGUCUGUUUCUUCACCUGGUGUUGAAACAACUCAUGGAUUGGCUGGCUUUUGGUGGUUUGUUGGUAAAAGUGGCAAGCUUACGUUAACCUAGUGAUUCUGUGGUCAGUAGAUCGGUACUCUAUCCGACCCGUCUUGAAACACGGACCAAGGAGUCUAACAUGUAUGCAAGCUGAUCAGUCUUGUUUAGGCUUGAAAGGCGAAUUGAAAGAAAUUGAUAUGAUGUAUGCUUGUAAGAGUAUACCGCAAUAUCAGCCCGUGAUAUAUCCACUUUACCGAGAUUUUCGCGGAGCACUAGUAUAUAUGUUAGUACCCGAAAGAUGGUGAACUAAGCCCGGACAAGAUGAAGCCAGAGGAAACUCUGGUGGACAAGAUGAAGCCAGAGGAAACUCUGGUGGAGGUCUGUAGCGAUUCUGACGUGCAAAUCGAUCGUCAGAUCCGGGUUUAGGGGCGAAAGACUAAUCGAACCGUCUAGUAGCUGGUUUCUUCCGAAGUUUCCCUCAGGAUAGCUGGCACCAAUGGAAGUACCAGUAGCAUCCGGUAGAGCGAAUGAUUAGAGGUCUUGGGGCCGAAAUGGCCUCAACCUAUUCUCAAACUCCUAAUGGGUGCGAAGUUCAACUUGUUAAACUUUUAAAGCUGAACAUACUUUGUAUGAUGGUGCCCAGUGGGCCAUUUUUGGUAAGCAGAACUGGCGCUGUGGGAUGAACCAAACGUUAGGUUAAGGUGCCCGAUGCUGACGCUAAUGAGAUCCCAUGAAAGGUGUUGGUUGCUAAAGACAGCAGGACGGUGGCCAUGGAAGUUGGAAUCCGCUAAGGAGUGUGUAACAACUCACCUGCCGAAGCAACUAGCCCUGAAAAUGGAUGGCGCUCAAGCGUUGAACCUAUACCUAACCGUUAAGGCAAUCAUAUAUAUUAUUUAUCAUGAUAUAAGCUUUAACGAGUAGGAAGAAUGUAGUGAUAGCGUCGAAGGUGUCUGACGUAAGUCAGCCUGGAGCUUUCACUAUUACAGAUCUUGGUGGUAGUAGCAAAUACUCAAGUGAGACCCUUGAGGACCAAUGUGGAGAAGGGUUCCAUGUGAACAGUAGUUGAACAUGGGUCAGUCGGUCCUAAGCGAUGGGGAGAAAUCCCUAACCAAAGUCCCAGAUACAAUUAUCAAGUUGACUGUGGUGUUUCGCGAAAGGGAAUCGGGUUAAUAUUCCCGAACCUGGCGUGGGAGAUUGCUUCUUCGGAAGUAAAUGCGGUAACGCAAACUAACAUGGAGAUGUUUCCAAAAGUCCUGGGAAGAGUUGUCUUUUCUUUGUAAGGUACCAAGUCCCUGGAAUCGGUUUAACCGGAGAUAGGGAUUCCGGUACCGUAAAGCACCGCGGCUCUUGCGGUGUCCAGUGCACUUUUGGAAACCCUUGAAAAUCUAUGUUAGAGAUUAUAACUUUCCCGCCAGACCGUACCCAUAUCCGCAGCAGGUCUCCAAGGUGAACAGCCUCUGGUC
rfam:Tetranychus urticae London genomic scaffold, scaffold_37